rnacentral:rRNA from 2 species
CGCAAGAUUAAAACUCAAAUGAAUUGACGGGGGCCCGCACAAGCGGUGGAGCAUGUGGUUUAAUUCGAUGCAACGCGAAGAACCUUACCUACUCUUGACAUCCAGAGAACUUUCCAGAGAUGGAUUGGUGCCUUCGGGAACUCUGAGACAGGUGCUGCAUGGCUGUCGUCAGCUCGUGUUGUGAAAUGUUGGGUUAAGUCCCGCAACGAGCGCAACCCUUAUCCUUGUUUGCCAGCGAGUAAUGUCGGGAACUCCAGGGAGACUGCCGGUGAUAAACCGGAGGAAGGUGGGGACGACGUCAAGUCAUCAUGGCCCUUACGAGUAGGGCUACACACGUGCUACAAUGGCGCAUACAGAGGGCAGCAAGCUAGCGAUAGUGAGCGAAUCCCAAAAAGUGCGUCGUAGUCCGGAUUGGAGUCUGCAACUCGACUCCAUGAAGUCGGAAUCGCUAGUAAUCGUGGAUCAGAAUGCCACGGUGAAUACGUUCCCGGGCCUUGUACACACCGCCCGUCACACCAUGGGAGUGGGCUGCAAAAGAAGUAGGUAGUUUAACCUUCGGGAGGACGCUUA